CAGCCGCCGCGGUAAUACGUAGGGUGCGAGCGUUAAUCGGAAUUACUGGGCGUAAAGCGUGCGCAGGCGGUUAUAUAAGACAGGUGUGAAAUCCCCGGGCUCAACCUGGGACCUGCAUUUGUGACUGUAUAGCUAGAGUACGGUAGAGGGGGAUGGAAUUCCGCGUGUAGCAGUGAAAUGCGUAGAUAUGCGGAGGAACACCGAUGGCGAAGGCAAUCCCCUGGACCUGUACUGACGCUCAUGCACGAAAGCGUGGGGAGCAAACAGGAUUAGAUACCCCUGUAGUCCCUGUCUCUUAUAC
rnacentral:rRNA from 1 species